AACAGUUCAUUAGAGGAGGUGCUAGAGGCCAGACCGGAAGCGGAAGUGGUCCUCGAAAGGUUUUUUUCGCCGCUAAUGUCAGGAGUUUCUCCGCAUUUUAAUUCCGAGGGGUCUCUGAGGUUUUUUGGUGUCUCUGGGGAGCUCCUGGGUUAGAUCUUCCAGACUUCAGCCUGCCUUUCUCCAGCAGCUCUGCUUGAGUUUACAGAUGUCUACAAAGCUUUAGGCUCCUGAGAGAAUAAAGUUUGAGACCUACCCUGAUCAUGUCAGCUAAUCGGACCUCUCCCCAGAAAUCCCUGGUCCAGGUUCCAGAGGAAUGUGAUAAUUCAUACGAGGAUUUUAUUUUUAAGUAAUCUCUACACCCAGUGUGGGACUCAGACUCACUACCCUGAGAUCAAGAGUCACCUGCUGUACCAACUGAGCCAGCCAGGCACCCCUUAAAGUCUCUUUUAAUAAAGAAAAGAUUCCCUUCCACUAUCUUUUCUAUUGUAAUUUAUUUUUUUGAAGAAAUGGGCCAUUUGCUGCCUUCCGGAUUUAGCUGACAUUUCCGUCUUACAUUGUUCCAUAUGUUCUUCUUUCUUUCAUUUUAUCUAUGGAUUUUUUGUUUGAUCUGGAGGGUUAGAAGAUUCAGGUUGGAUUUUUUUUUUCUUUGAUAAGAAUACUUGAUGGUAAUGAAAUCAGUUACUAUAUCAUUUCAGGAGGCACAUAAUUUCUGGUUCUCUCUUUUGUAAUGUUAAAAUUGAUCGUUGGAUGUAGAUGUUAUUAGCUGGUCCAUCCACUGUAAACUCCUCAGCCUUUCUUUUUUUUUUUUUUUUAAGAUUU